CGCCGUUGGUAGAGCAGAGACUCCCCGGCCACCCAGCACUGUUUUGCCUGUUUGCGGCUUGCUUCAAUAAAUUUUGAUUGGAUUGUCCACGGGCUGGCGUAUAAUUUGUCGUCACCACUUAUAACAAUUUUGGUGCUGUGACUCGGAUAAGGUUAACUUGGUUCGGAAUCUAAACUCUGAGGAGGCGCCCCAUCUUUGGAUGGCCCCAGAGUGGACUAUAUCCUUUCCAAGACCCUUACCUCCGAACCCUAAAUUUGGCAAGCAGGCAAAAGAAUACUGCAGUACCCCGUAAUUUUUGUGCACGAAGAUCCGGACGAAGACUCCAGGUUAAGGACCGUUUCUUGUUUUGCUUACUACAGAUACUGCAGUCCGGACUGCCGAAAGAGGGUGGACUCAUGCAAGCAGAAUCAAAGGACCAAUUCAGAGCUCACACUGGGAGGCGAUCAGAGACCCUGACAGCUUGAAAAUUACGUUCCGAAGGAAAGCGGAUGAGUGAGACUGUCUUUUGUAAUGACCCUAACUGUAUAUGUUAUCCCUUUGUAUGUUACAGGUGUAAACUCUGUAGAGAAAAGUGGUGGGUCCAUUGCCCCUAUGGAUAUUCCCCUAGCGGUAUUUGCCACGAAUGUUAUAAUUACGAACGGGAAUUAACUGAGCAAGCAUUACGUGUGGGAGUAGCAACUGGGAAAAUUAUAAAAGACUCCAAAGAGUGGUGGGAUAUCUUUGCCAAAGGCAUAAACCCCGAGAAGUGUUGUUUCCAUGCAAAUGAGCCCUGUCCAACGAAGGCCGAAAUCGUGCAUGUACCCUGCAGACGGGUCGUGACCAGAGUGAGGUGUGGAGUCUGGGAGGUGAAAAAUAAGAGUUGGGAGAUCUAUAAGUCAAAGUUGACUAAAUAUGACAAAGGAGGAUCUCCUGAAGAAUACGACUGCUGCUGAGAAGAUGGUACACCUCGCUGCUCUAAGCAACAGAGUAGGCAGAGGAGAAGGCAGAGGCGUACUGCUGUGGGGAUUGAGGUUAAUGAACCACCUCCAGAAAUGGCACACGAGGCCCCUUGACUCACAACUCCCAGACCCAACGACCUCAGGGCCGCCCCGAAGUUCCUCAUCUCCCUCAGGGAAUAAAACCGAAAACCAAAUUAAAUGUCAAAAAAGUGGAAAUGCUUAUAGAAAGGGCAAGGCCACACCACUUUUCUCAAUCUUAAAUCUAAGUAUGUGGAUAAUAAGUCUGCUACCAAUGCUGACGAAACCUGCCUGUGGGAAUGAGAACCCUCAUCAACCAUGUAAGUGGACGUUUAGUAGAUGGGAUGAUCAGAAAAUUCUUGAUACUACCAUUACCACAGGGGCACCCACAUUUAUUAUUACCAAUUGUAAAUUAUUUGAGACCUUAAUAGGAGAUCAUUAUGUAUGUCAACAAAAAACAGAUGAAGGAAAUGCAAAAGCCACCUAUUGGUGCCCCAGUUCUAACCCAGGAAAAAGUUAUUGCAACUAUCCGGGGGAAUAUUAUUGUGCUUAUUGGGGAUGCGAAACUAUAACAACAGGAGGUUGGAAAGUCCAAACUUCUGACCCAUAUCUUAAAGUUGACAGGGGACCCACGAAAUGUAAGAAGCCUACUUAUGGAUUUGAGGGAGGUUUAGCUGAUCUUGGUAAUUGUAAGUACCUAAUGAUUCAAAUAUUGCAACCCCAACAUGAUGGAUGGGAAAUUGGUAAGACCUGGGGAGUAAGAUUUUGGGAACAGGGAAGCGACAGGGGAAUACUUAUUGUUAUCAAAAAAGAAAAGAUAAAACAUCCGCAGGCUGUAGGUCCUAAUUCAGUAGUUAAGGAACCCAAAAUAUUACCCCCAACCCAGGAUAUAACCAUAGGAAGAAGUAAUAUUACCGAAGGAACCCCGAGGGGAAGAAUUCAGUCAGAUCCUCUAUGGGAAAUAAUACAAGCUACCUACCGAACUUUAAAUCAUACCAAACCAAACUUAACAGAGGGUUGUUGGCUUUGUUAUGAUGUCAAUCCACCUUUUUAUGAGGCAAUUGGAAUUAAUGACACAUAUAACUUGAGCUCAGAGGCGGCACCUUCUCAAUGCUCUUGGGGAAAUAGGAAGGAAGGAAUAACCAUGCAACAUGUUACUGGAGUAGGGGCCUGUAUAGGUACAGUACCUAGGGCAAAGCAAACACUGUGUAGUUCCAUUAAUACCAGCAUCAACAAAACUGCUGAAAAAUGGAUUAUUUCCCAGGAAGGAGCUCGAUGGAUAUGUUCGAAAACGGGACUUACUCCGUGUGUAUCUCUAAGUGUGUUUGAUGCUUCUCGCGAAUACUGUAUACUAGUCACUAUUAUCCCGAGAAUAUUGUAUCACCAAGAAAGUGUAAUUUAUGACUAUUGGGAUAUUGAAACAC